GAUGAACGCUGGCGGCGUGCCUAAUACAUGCAAGUCGAGCGAAUGGAUUAAGAGCUUGCUCUUAUGAAGUUAGCGGCGGACGGGUGAGUAACACGUGGGUAACCUGCCCAUAAGACUGGGAUAACUCCGGGAAACCGGGGCUAAUACCGGAUAACAUUUUGAACCGCAUGGUUCGAAAUUGAAAGGCGGCUUCGGCUGUCCCUUAUGGAUGGACACGCGUCGCAUUAGCUAGUUGGGGAGGUAACGGCUAACCAAGGCAGCGAUGCGUAGCCGACCUGAGAGGGUGAUCGGCCACACUGGGACUGAGACACGGCCCAGACUCCUACGGGAGGCAGCAGUAGGGAAUCUUCCGCAAUGGACGAAAGUCUGACGGAGCAACGCCGCGUGAGUGAUGAAGGCUUUCGGGUCGUAAAACUCUGUUGUUAGGGAAGAACAAGUGCUAGUUGAAUAAGCUGGCACCUUGACGGUACCUAACCAGAAAGCCACGGCUAACUACGUGCCAGCCGCCGCGGUAA
rnacentral:rRNA from 1 species